UCUUGUCCAAGGUCUAGCUCUCCUGAUCCUCUUUCCUGAUAUGAGCAGACAAUGUGCAGGCACUGAAAUGGGACCGUCCCCUCUGCUGUAUGUUCACGCAGGGUCUCUGGGUCUGAUUUUUUACAAGAGGCUCCCAACUGAGAGUGGAAAAACUCAAUGAGAGCAGAAAAACUUGGCAUAUGUGUGGGAAGAUCAGGAUGUUUCAGUUUCUCUCCUGACCUGCUCCUGCUGACCCAGUCAGGUAUGGCAUCAAAACUCCAGUUGCAUGGUGAGAACAAGAGCUUGGACCAUCCCUCCUUACGUCUAGAAACUUGUCACACCUCAGGACCUCAUAGAUGUCAACACUCUUCCUGCUGUCCAGACCCAGCCCAACAUCAGUCUAGCAGUUCUGGGGACACCAAGAGCACCGCAGCCACAGGAGAUGGAGGGACAGAGGGUGGCACCCCACUUCCAAGCAACCCAUGGCCCCAGGCUCUGGACUGAAACCUUGCAGGGCUUG
rnacentral:lncRNA from 1 species